GAUGAACGCUGGCGGCGUGCCUAAUACAUGCAAGUCGAGCGAAUGGAUUGAGAGCUUGCUCUUAUGAAGUUAGCGGCGGACGGGUGAGUAACACGUGGGUAACCUGCCCAUAAGACUGGGAUAACUCCGGGAAACCGGGGCUAAUACCGGAUAACAUUUUGAACCGCAUGGUUCGAAAUUGAAAGGCGGCUUCGGCUGUCACUUAUGGAUGGACCCGCGUCGCAUUAGCUAGUUGGUGAGGUAACGGCUCACCAAGGCAACGAUGCGUAGCCGACCUGAGAGGGUGAGCGGCCACACUGGGAAUGAGACACGGCCCAGACUCCUACGGAAGGCAGCGGUAGGGAAUCUUCCGCAAUGGACGAAAGUCUGACGGAGCAACGCCGCGUGAGUGAUGAAGGCUUUCGGGUCGUAAAACUCUGUUGUUAGGGAAGAACAAGUGCUAGUUGAAUAAGCUGGCACCUUGACGGUACCUAACCAGAAAGCCACGGCUAACUACGUGCCAGCAGCCGCGGUAA
rnacentral:rRNA from 1 species